UGUGGAAUUUAAACAGGCACCUACAGAAAAAGCUAAGUGAUGCAAGGCUCACCGAACGAUUUGCUUUUAUCAAUCCAGCUUUAGUCUCUAAAGCUGGAAUGGGUGAGACAACAAAGGAAAAUAGGUCAAGGUUGAUUGCAAAUCGUUUAAUGCAUGCAAAGUGUGCUGACUACAUUUUUAUUCCAUAUAACCCUAAUUUCCACUGGGUCUUGGUGGCAUUGGAUAUGAGGACAAUGACUGCGUACUACCUUGAUCCGAUUCAAAAGCAACCAUGUGAUGAUCUUAAGGAAAUUGUUAACAUGGCACUACGAAUUCAUCCACCAGAGAACAAAGAUCAUCAAAGAGGGAGCCGACAUGGGUAAAAGUAGUGUGCCCAAGACAACUAGGAAGUGUGGAGUGUGGUUAUUAUGUGAUGAGAUACAUGAAAGAUAUAAUUGUUGAUCCAAGCCUCCUAUCCACAAAGUUUAAAGGAAAAAAAUCGUAUAGUGAAGUUGAGCUUAAUGAAGUACGAUCUGAGUGGGUUAUGUUGGCAACUCAAUUGAUUCUUACCCAUGCUUGAAGAUGCCCUCAUUUCAGUCCAGUAAGAGUUGUAGAUCACAUUUUGACGAUUCUCAGAAGUUCUCAUCUCAUGAUAAGUAAAAGAUUUCAAGUUCAGGAGUGGAUAUGCAACCAACAAAAAUACUUUUGGCUAUAAAUACUUUUGGCUUCUUCUUGUAAUAUUAUUUUUGAUAA